rnacentral:rRNA from 1 species
AGGUUAAGUGAAUAAGGGCGCACGGUGGAUGCCUUGGCACUAGGAGCCGAUGAAGGACGGGACUAACACCGAUAUGCUUUGGGGAGCUGUAAGUAAGCUAUGAUCCAGAGAUUUCCGAAUGGGGGAACCCAGCAUCUUUUAUAGGAUGUUACGUCUGCGUGAAUACAUAGCGCAGUCGAGGUAGACGCAGAGAACUGAAACAUCUAAGUACCUGCAGGAAGAGAAAGAAAAUUCGAUUCCCUGAGUAGCGGCGAGCGAAACGGGAAAAGCCCAAACCAACAAGCUUGCUUGUUGGGGUUGUAGGACUCCGAUAUGGUAGUCUAUUCAGAUAGUCGAAAUACUUGGAAAAGUAUGUCAAAGAGGGUAAAAACCCCGUAGGCGAAAUUUGGAUAACACCUAGGAGGAUCCUGAGUACGGCGGAACACGAGGAAUUCCGUCGGAAUCCGGGAGGACCAUCUCCCAAGGCUAAAUACUCCCUAGUGACCGAUAGUGAACCAGUACCGUGAGGGAAAGGUGAAAAGCACCCCGGAAGGGGAGUGAAAUAGAUCCUGAAACCGUGUGCCUACAACAAGUUAGAGCCCGUUAAUGGGUGAUAGCGUGCCUUUUGUAGAAUGAACCGGCGAGUUACGAUAGCAUGCGAGGUUAAGUUGAAGAGACGGAGCCGCAGCGAAAGCGAGUCUGAAUAGGGCGAAUGAGUAUGUUGUCGUAGACCCGAAACCAUGUGAUCUACCCAUGUCCAGGUUGAAGGUGCGGUAAAACGCACUGGAGGACCGAACCCACGUACGUUGAAAAGUGCGGGGAUGAGGUGUGGGUAGCGGAGAAAUUCCAAACGAACUUGGAGAUAGCUGGUUCUCUCCGAAAUAGCUUUAGGGCUAGCCUCGGAAUUGAGAAUGAUGGAGGUAGAGCACUGUUUGGACUAGGGGCCCAUCUCGGGUUACCGAAUUCAGAUAAACUCCGAAUGCCAUUCAUUCAUAUCCGGGAGUCAGACUGUGAGUGAUAAGAUCCAUAGUCGAAAGGGAAACAGCCCAGACCACCAGCUAAGGUCCCCAAAUAACUAUUAAGUGGAAAAGGAUGUGGGGUUGCACAGACAACUAGGAUGUUGGCUUAGAAGCAGCCACCAUUUAAAGAGUGCGUAAUAGCUCACUAGUCGAGUGACCCUGCGCCGAAAAUGUACCGGGGCUAAAUAGUUUACCGAAGCUGUGGAGUGCACCAUCAGGUGCAUUGGUAGGAGAGCGUUCUAAGGGCGUUGAAGGCAGAUCGUGAGGACUGCUGGAGCGCUUAGAAGUGAGAAUGCCGGUAUGAGUAGCGAAAGACAGGUGAGAAUCCUGUCCACCGAAUGACUAAGGUUUCCUGGGGAAGGCUCGUCCGCCCAGGGUUAGUCGGGACCUAAGCCGAGGCCGACAGGCGUAGGCGAUGGACAACAGGUUGAUAUUCCUGUACCCGUUGUUUUUGUUUGAGCAAUGGAGGGACGCAGGAGGCUAAGAAGUGCAGACUGAUGGAUAUGUCUGUUCAAGCAGUAAGUCUUGGUAGGAGUCAAAUGCUUCUACCUAUACGGACAAGCUGUGAUGAGGAGGGAAAUAAUAGUACCGAAGCUUCUGAUGUCACACUGCCAAGAAAAGCUUCUAGUGAGAAAACAACGGCCCGUACCGCAAACCGACACAGGUAGUCGAGGAGAGAAUCCUAAGGUGAGCGAGAGAACUCUCGUUAAGGAACUCGGCAAAAUGACCCCGUAACUUCGGGAGAAGGGGUGCUGCUCUAACGAGCAGCCGCAGUGAAUAGGCCCAAGCGACUGUUUAUCAAAAACACAGGUCUCUGCAAAAUCGAAAGAUGACGUAUAGGGGCUGACGCCUGCCCGGUGCUGGAAGGUUAAGAGGAGUGCUUAGCGUAAGCGAAGGUACGAAUUGAAGCCCCAGUAAACGGCGGCCGUAACUAUAACGGUCCUAAGGUAGCGAAAUUCCUUGUCGGGU